CGCGUACAAAGGAUUUCUCCGGGCAGCAUCCUCGGCGUCCACAGCUCGUUGCGGAAGCUUCGAGCCAGCCCAGCCCAUCUAUGACGAGGAGGCCCGAGAACCCUAAUUCCCCAUCCUCCGAAACCCUAACCCACUCGCGACCGUCCAAUCUCGAUCCGACAUCUUCGCCGCCACUGCUAUUAUAAAUCAAGGCUCCUCCUUCCAUCUCUCCCCCAUCGAGCCUCUCGCACGGCAUAAUCCCUCUCCAUCCACGGCGCAUCAGAGAGAGCGGGGGGCAUGGUUCGGUGAAAGGCCUCGAUCUACCAUUUCAUCAGCGAAUCCCCGCCGCUUCUUUCCUUUGCCCUAGACUGCAAGCCCUGCGAGUCCUAGGUCUGCGACGGCCGUACCUAUUUUCUCUUUCCGGUAAAGUGAAGUACGAUCCCCUCACCUCCUUCACGGGAGAGGGAUAGUAGCUAAAGGGGUAUGGUUCUCCGUCUCUUUUAAGCCUACUAUUCUAUUUUUGGGGAGGCCGUCGUCGUUUGCCGUGAUACGGGCUCGCGGUGUUGGCAGAUUAGGCCAGAAGAAAGAAGCCGCGGGUUGUGUUCAGCGAUUCGCUGGUGAAAUGGUAGAUCGGGUCAUUCACCAAGCGAUGCCGAUCGAUCUCUUGUUCCGUGUCUCUUGCUCAGAUCUAUUUUGGAUCUGGGCUGGUUGUUUGCCGUGAUGGGCUGUGGAUGGCAUGGAUUCUGCCCUGAAAGGCCGAAAAUCUAGGAGGGUGGUUUUUGUGGAUUUUGGAUAUCAAAGGUGAUCCAGAUCAAUAACGUGGAGAAAGACAGUCUAACUGCCAACAGCCUCCAGCUGAAGCUAGUGAUAAUUUGUGGUCACUCAGGCUGUUCUGCUUUCAAUUGUAUUCAAUUGGAGUCAUUUUGUUGUCAUCAUGUAUCCAUUGUACAUGAAUACACAUACUCCAUUGUACAUGAAUACACAUACACUGUAAUACCAGUGUUACUGAAGAAUAAUAUUGUUCCUUAAAUCGUUAUAUUU